rnacentral:rRNA from 1 species
GUUAAGCGACUAAGCGUACACGGUGGAUGCCCUGGCAGUCAGAGGCGAUGAAGGACGUGCUAAUCUGCGAUAAGCGUCGGUAAGGUGAUAUGAACCGUUAUAACCGGCGAUUUCCGAAUGGGGAAACCCAGUGUGAUUCGUCACACUAUCAUUAACUGAAUCCAUAGGUUAAUGAGGCGAACCGGGGGAACUGAAACAUCUAAGUACCCCGAGGAAAAGAAAUCAACCGAGAUUCCCCCAGUAGCGGCGAGCGAACGGGGAGCAGCCCAGAGCCUGAAUCAGUGUGUGUGUUAGUGGAAGCGUCUGGAAAGGCGCGCGAUACAGGGUGACAGCCCCGUACACAAAAAUGCACAUAUUGUGAGCUCGAUGAGUAGGGCGGGACACGUGGUAUCCUGUCUGAAUAUGGGGGGACCAUCCUCCAAGGCUAAAUACUCCUGACUGACCGAUAGUGAACCAGUACCGUGAGGGAAAGGCGAAAAGAACCCCGGCGAGGGGAGUGAAAAAGAACCUGAAACCGUGUACGUACAAGCAGUGGGAGCACGCUUCGGCG